UGAAGAUCGUGGAAUUUCAGGGGUUCUUAAAAAACAAACAAAACUCUUCCCCCAAGUUUCCCAAACUCAGAGAAGCAAUGGCAAAGUGGCAAAGCGGCAAAGCGGUUGUUCUAUGAUUCAAAAUGGCUUUGAUUUUCACUUUUCCUCAUCGGAGACUCAACAAUUUUCCGAUCUGCACUCUAUUGAUUGUAGCAUUUCUCUUAUCACCACCAAAAGUCCUAACUUUUCCGAUAUGCACUCUAUUGAACGUGCAAAUCAUUCGAUCUUCAUCUGACUAUUUAAAGAAGUUUAAGUUUGAGUGAGUGUGUGGGAUGGCAAAAACAGGGAAUCUGAGUCCCUCUUUCUUCUCCCUCUUACCACCGUCAUGGCUUCUCGCUGCCGGUUCACGAUUGUUCGCAACUCGGCCAGAACGAUGUUGUACCGUAUUCCACGUGUAAGGCAACAUAGCAUGAUUGCAUUUCCGGAAAUGGUUUUGGAGGAGUCAGGUGCAGCCAAGAUUGAAAGUGACACCAAACUCUUUAUUUAACUUGGAUCAUGGAGUUGCCGACGAUGAUAUCAAGAUUGGGAGAUCAAAGGGAACAACAGAAGUUGUGUUCGUGAGGCACUAUGAUGCUUUAGCAGCCAUCAAGAAAUACAACAAUGAGGUUUAAUGGAAAGACAUUGAAAAUUGAGUUUGUUGGAACAUGUUCCGCUACUCCGGUUGUCGCACCUCUUUGUCAAACUAACUUAAUGGGAAGACCAAAUGAUGUCCAUUUAAGUUGCUCACUUGUGUUACAUGAAAUCACAGGUUAUGUUCAUUUAAGAUUAUGAGUAAAAUUUUGAAUUUUAGAUCAGAAAAUGGUUAAGAAUUGAUUCCUUUUAACACCAUAACCAUUUCCUUUAGCCUAAAAAUAUUUAAUUUUAAAUUUUAGGACAGACAACCAAGCUUGAUAUAUGAUAUAGUUUCCAUUGUCAGUUUAUGCAAGUAUUUGAUGGUGGCUCUGGUAGAGCAUCUAUUUCAACUUGGAGAACAAAAAAAGGAACUGUCCAGAAUCAACAUAAAGUGAGGCCUUUGGAGCUUCUGAUUCCAAGAAAGGAACUAAAACUAUGUUUGUAGACCUUGGGUACCACAGAUAAACGUCCUUAAGGGAAUGUAUUGCUAAAGCAAACCGCCAGUUCCAUUGACGAGUUUGUUGUGUUCGUACAUGUGGCAUGGAGUCGCCAGUCCCAUUGGCGAUUUCGUCAUGCAUUGGGAGUAGUCAGUCAAACUGGCAAGUUCCAAGCACAGCUAGGUGCAGCUGGGGCGUAGGGGGAGGUCAAGGAUGUAGUGCAACAGGCGGAGCAGGUGCAGGAAGGACUCGCCAGUCCUAUUAGCGGUUUGCGGAGAGAGAGGACUCGCCAGUCCAACUAACGAGUUGCUUUUAAAAAAAAUUCUCCCAUUAUAAAAGCUUGAUCACUCCACAACUGCUCCCUUCCUUGCACUACAUUGCUUUCUUCUUCUUCCUACUACGUGCUUUCUCUUCUUGGACAUUGCUUCCUUCCUUUUCUUACUACGUGGUUUCUCUCUUCUUGAUAAGUGUUUCUUAACUGGACGUAUGCAUGGGGACAUUUCGUGCUUGUUUUGUAUAUAAAGAGAUGUGCAUCGCCACCGAUUACAAAACUAAAUCAAUCGGAGGUAUGUGCAUCUUAAUCCAAAUGUGGACAUGAGAACGAUGCACGACUUUGGCUCCAAAGAGGACUCCUCUCGUAAUAGAAAAUAAAUCACUCGGACACAGGUGGUUGCGACGUGAAAAUCAACAUAUUGACAAUGAUGAUCUGAUAGUUUUUCGUCACAAAUUGGAUAUCAUGAAACGAUAUAAGUUUCUGUGGAAGCCUUACACAGCAACUGUUAUGUCACUGUUGCCUUCAAUUUGUUUGGUUGGAAGUGUAGCAUGGUGGCGGUGGUACCACUCAUUUGUUUCCAUGUUGAGUGGCACCAAUCCGAUAGAGUGUUGCGACAAUUUGGAAUGCAACAAUCUAUUCCUGAGGGUCCUCCGCAACCACUGAAUAUCCAUGGCAUAAUGCUAAAAGGCAAACCAGAUGAAAAUUGGGGACCACUGUUGGCCCCAAUGAUCAGUCAAUGGAACAAUCGAGCUGAGUUCAGGGUCGACGUUUAUCCUCGACAAAAGGGUUUAUUGAGUUUUAACUUCGACUACAUGGUCUGGUAUAAGCAAAAAAUGAAGAUGUUUGUUGACCUGAAGAAUGCAAACACAGCUACAUUGGUAUUUAUUUGUUUUUGAAUGUCACAUUGAUAUGUCUGCAAGCGAACAUUCAUUUGGUGGUAUUGCGAAAACACAUUCUCAUUUUUCAUGAUCGACUAUGACUCCUUCACAGUAACAUGAUAUUCCAAUUGCAACACCUAAUGCCCCAUUAGGUCCGCAAUGACAUGUAUCCGGAGCAAUACCUGAUAUGUGUGACUUAUUAGAUGUUGAUUUGCGUCACGAGUUUUCUGUUGAGACUGAGUAAGUAGAAGCAAGGAGAUAUCGCGACAGAAGAAAUCCUGAUCGUCAAGCGCAAAGAUAGGAUUGACCAUGUGACACUUCCUCACGUCAUCACAAACAUCAUAAUGAAUGAUAUUCAUGUCUCUGUUUAAAUUUGUUGUUGUAUGUUUGUCAUUUGAAUUUGACACUUAAUCUAUCGUAUCUCAUUUAUUAAGGCUUA